CUACGGGGGGCAGCAGUGAGGAAUAUUGCACAAUGGGGGGAACCCUAAUGCAGCAACGCCGCGUGGAGGAUGACGCAUUUCGGUGUGUAAACUCCUUUUAUAUGUCAAGAAAAUGACGGUAGCAUAUGAAUAAGCACCGGCUAACUCCGUGCCAGCAGCCGCGGUAAUACGGAGGGUGCAAGCGUUACUCGGAAUCACUGGGCGUAAAGGACGCGUAGGCGGGCUUGUAAGUCAGGUUUGAAAUCCUACAGCUUAACUGUAGAACUGCACUUGAAACUACGAGCCUAGAGUAUGGGAGGGGGAGAUGGAAUUAGCGGUGUAGGGGUAAAAUCCGUAGAUAUCACUAGGAAUACCUAAAGCGAAGGCGAUCUCCUGGAACAUAACUGACGCUAAGGCGUGAAAGCGUGGGGAGCAAACAGGAUUAGAUACCCCGGUAGUC
rnacentral:rRNA from 1 species